UGUGUGUGUGUGAGAGAGAGAGAGUGUGAGUGAGUGAGUGUGAGAGAGAAAGAGAGAGAGAAUGAGGAUAUGGGUGAAAGACCAAAUGAAUGCCAGUCACAGCAGCGGUGGUUAUUUCUGAUGAUUAUUAAUAGAGUUCUUGUAUUUGUGAGCAGUGUUGUGUGUUUUGUGACUGUCAGAACAGAAAAGCGUUGUUUCUCGUGACUGUGACUCCACUGUCAUUCCUGAUCUACGAGAGAGUCGCUCAUUUCUCUUCGGUUCGAGCGCUGGACUCAGCUCAAGAAGUUUUAGAACAAGCAGAUUAUCUGUACAGCUGCGGAGAGACACAGAAACUCCACCAGCUCCUGGUGCGCCACAAAGACAGUGAUGAUGCAGAGUUUCUGUGGCGUUUGGCGCGAGCGUCCCGUGAUCUGGCGUUACUGUCCAGCAUCAGCGCCGACGAGAAGAAACGGCUCACAUACGAGGCCUUUGACUACGCUAAGAAAGCUCUGGAGAAAAAUCAGGCUUGCUUUGCAGCACACAAAGUAGGUGAUCAUUUCUGUUUGUAAAUGUGUAUUGCAGUGUUUGAGCAAAUAUUAGAUGUUUUAUCACCCUGUCG